UAGCUUCAGCGAUGGAUCGGUGGAUUCGCGUAUCUAUGAAAAACGCAGCUAGCGUUAUUUACCACGCAUUGCAGACGCUUAGAGUGGUGAAUUUUUGAACGCAUAGCGCUGUUGGGUUUUCCUUUU
rnacentral:rRNA from 1 species